AGAGCCCAGUGUGCCCUGAGGCAUGAAGGGCAGCCAUGCCCCUCGUGUCACCCAGCUCAGUGGGUUGCAGGCUGAGACCCACUUAAAUGAGGAGCCAGCAUGAUCCCAAACCAAGAGCUAUUGUUUCUGUACGAGCCCGGUACGUUAUUUAGGGAUGAGUUUCCUGCAAGAAGGUCAAGAUCACCCUGGGGAAACUGGAGGACUCUCUUCAGCCCAGGAGCCCACCCCAAUGGGCCUCUGCCCACCUAACUGCUCUGCUAAUAUGCCGUAUGCUCAUGAGUGACAAAAUAAGGACGCUAACUUUUCUGUAAGAGGAAAGCACCAAACCUCAGCAGAUUUCCUGCACCUUCUGCUGCAGCACCACAAAUCUAUCAAAUGCCAAUGGGGCGCCUGCAGGGACGUGGCAAAGAUCGCAUACUUCUACAAGGAAUCUUUUAGAGGCUCCCAAGAACCACGCGGCAAAUGAUUUUUUCCAUGUGAGGGUGGGAAUUUCAAUAUUUUUCAAACGUAUCUCCAUCAUUCUAAGGGAGAUUUCACAAGAUACUAGAAAGUAUAUCCAAUUAUCUGAUCUGCUCACUGAAAAUGUUAUCUUUUAUUUAUUCUAUUGGCAAAGACCUGGACUGCUUUUCUUCUUAUAAGCAAGCAUUUUUAUAAAAGACAUUACAUCUUUACAUGUGUAU